rnacentral:tRNA from 1 species
GCUAGGGUGGCAGAGACCGGUAAUUGCAAAAGGCCUAAGCCCUUUUUAGCAGAGGUUCAAAUCCUCUCCCUAGCU